UACGGGGGGGGCAAGCGUUGUUCGGAAUUACUGGGCGUAAAGGGCUUGUAGGUGGCUCGCUAAGUCGGACGUGAAAUCCCUCAGCUUAACUGGGGAACUGCGUCUGAGACUGGCGAGCUUGAGUGCAGGAGAGGAACGCGGAAUUCCAGGUGUAGCGGUGAAAUGCGUAGAUAUCUGGAGGAACACCGGUGGCGAAGGCGGCGUUCUGGACUGCAACUGACACUGAGGAACGAAAGCCAGGGGAGCAAACGGG
rnacentral:rRNA from 1 species